GUGCGCUGCGGAGCGGGCGUUGGCGCUGGGCGAGGAUCCCGGGCCGCGCUGGAGCCCGCCGGGCUGGCCCUGAGGGUCGGUGCUGGGUGCGUGGUGUGUGCGCUCCGUCUGGGAAGGCCCUGCAGACCCGGGCUGGGGAGCGGCUGGUGUCCUAGGUGCAGAGAAGCUUUCUGCGACGGAGGGCCCGCAGGCCGGGUAGGGGGCCGGGGGCGUCCCGGAGCUGCGGAUCUGCUGACCUGGGCCCAACUUAGGCUGCACUUGUUUCGUCCGCUGAGCGCAAUUUUAAACAGGUGUUGAAGGAGGAGACCGUGGAAAGGAAGUUCUCCAGGGCAGAGAGCGCAAGCCGGCUGACGCUGGGGAUGGCGACAGCACUGGCUAAUGCGCAUUCCCCAGCUCCUCUGAAUCUGAAGAAGGAGGGGCUUCGGAUAGUGAAGGAGGAUCCCUGCUCUACUUGGGAACAGGGAUUCAAGCUGCCAGGAAACAGCACCGGCCUUGGACAAGAACCGCUGUGCAAACAGUUCAGGCAGUUGCGAUAUGAAGAGACCACAGGACCCCGCGAGGCACUGAGCCGGCUCCGGGAGCUCUGCCGACGCUGGCUGCAGCCCGAGACGCACAGCAAGGAGCAGAUCGUGGAGCUGCUGGUGCUGGAGCAGUUCCUGACCAUCCUGCCCGAGGAGCUGCAGGCCCGGGUGCGGGAGCACCACCCGGAGAGCGGCGAGCAGGUGGUGACUGUGCUGGAGGAUUUGCAGCCAGAGCUUGGAGAAGCAGGACAACAUGUGGGCCCAGACCAGGCAAAGAAGCAGAAGAUGCUCGCAGCGCGGGAGCCGCAGGUCCAGGCUGAGCGUGACAUCCCAAAGCCUGAAGAAGAGAAGGGUGAGGAGACAAAGAUUGAGAAUGGGAAGACGGUGGUAGAGACAGAUUUUUGUGGAGGAGUGGAAUCAUCUGGGAAAGUAUCUGAACCCAUAGAACCUCGUCAUGAGGACCCUAACUUGGAAGGGCAGCAGGUCAAGCCCAAGGAGAAGACUGAAUAUAAAUGCUCAGACUGUGGGGAGGGAUUCACCCAGUGCUCAGACCUGAUUAGACACGAAGGGACACACACACAAGGGAAGCUCUGUGAAUCUGAGGCUUGUCAGAGUCCUAGUCCUACUGCACAUCAGAAAAUCCGCUCUAGAGAGAAAGGUCAUCAGUGUCACGAGUGUGGGAAAGCCUUUCAGAGAAGUUCACACCUUGUCAGGCACCAGAAAAUCCAUCUUGGAGAGAAGCCUUACCAGUGCAAAGAGUGUGGAAAGGUCUUUAGCCAGAAUGCAGGCCUUUUGGAACACCUCAGAAUCCAUACUGGAGAGAAACCUUACCUGUGCAUCCAUUGUGGGAAGAACUUCAGGCGCAGCUCCCACCUCAACCGACACCAGAGAAUUCACAGCCAGGAGGAGCCCUGUGAGUGCAAGGAGUGUGGGAAGACCUUCAGUCAGGCCCUUUUCCUCACCCACCACCAGAGAAUCCACAGCCACUCCAGAAGCCAUCGCUGUAACGAGUGCGGGAAAGCCUUCAGUUUGACUUCGGACCUUAUUCGCCAUCACAGGAUUCAUACUGGAGAAAAGCCUUUUAAGUGUGCCAUAUGCCAGAAAGCCUUCCGACUGAACUCCCACCUGGCUCAGCAUGUGAGAAUCCACAACGAAGAAAAACCCUAUGAGUGUAAUGAAUGUGGCGAAGCCUUCAGGCAGAGGUCGGGUCUUUUUCAGCAUCAGAGAUAUCACCACAAACACAGUCUGGCUUGAUGGGGCAUCCUCUCUGCAAGGAACAUGACGGACAGUAUGUUGACAAGCAAACAGCACUUUAGGAAGAGUCACUCCAGCCAAUUCUAGCUUCAGAGAACUCCAGGGGGCCAAGCGGGAGGCUCUUGUCCCUUCACUUGUGCUCAGCCUUGGACCAGAAUGAUUUGAUCCUCGAUGGGACUGUGGGAACAAGCAAAGCAACAUUCUUCACUGCAGGACUUCUCUGAGCCUUUAACAUGGUAAAUGCAUGAUUGCACACCUCCCAAGUAGUAGAGAGCCUCAUGAGUGAGGGCUUUGAAGUCAGCAGUGAGUCAGUCAAGUAUCCACGGAUUUAUAGGCUUGAACAGAACAAGAGCAGAUUAUAGAAACAUUGAACAAAGGGCAAAAUGUUAUGACAAAUCUUGUUGAAGGUUUUGCUUGCAAUGCAACACAUGAUAGAUGCUCUAGAAGGAAAGCUGAAAGUCUAUUCAGAGGGCAGCAACCCAGAAAGGAUGAGCUGUAUUGCAAAGUGUCUUCUACUGAUCAGCUUUUCUGUUGGGAUAGUAUCCUAUAAUGUUCAAAAAAGAGUGGUACUUGUGUGUCUUCAUUUCCUGUUCACUCUCCUGUUUAAAAAACUGAUAAAGUUAUUAAUAAGUGUGCCAUUAUAAAUGUAGUAGGGAAAAACAGGAAAGGGAAAAAUAAAGCCCCUAAUUUUCACCUGUCAAAAAUAAUCACUGUUUAAUGUGCAUAUAUACACACACAUACUCGAAUUGUGAUUAGUCAUUACUAAUUUUCAAUAUAAUUGUCCAUGUUUAUCUUCAUAAAUUCUUAAUAAAUUAACUCUUGUUUAUUAUGAUAGAAAUUCAUAUAUUUUGUAAAAACCUUGAAAAAUGAAAGCAAAUCAUCCUGCUUCAUGGGUCAGGUAUAAUCCCUUAAUAAAGUAUUUUGAGAUACUGAU